rnacentral:rRNA from 1 species
UACGUAGGGUGCGAGCGUUGUCCGGAAUUAUUGGGCGUAAAGAGCUCGUAGGCGGUGUGUCACGUCGGCCGUGAAAACCUGCAGCUUAACUGUGGGCGUGCGGUCGAUACGGGCAUCACUGGAGUUCGGCAGGGGAGACUGGAAUUCCUGGUGUAGCGGUGAAAUGCGCAGAUAUCAGGAAGAACACCCGUGGCUAAGGCGGCUCUCUAGUACGGUACUGACGCUGAGACGCGAAAGCGUGGGGAGCGAACAGG